GUCGCAUGCUUCUGAGGAAGUUUCUCUAUGACUGUGGAAAUUGUGAUGUCGUUUUAAAGAUACAUCUCAAAAUAUCUAUUAUUGAUAGAUACUUUUAGAUAUUUUAUACUUUGAAAUGAUGAGUUACCAAUGAAAAUUAUUAUCAUGAUCAAUAAAGAUUGUAAGUGGAAAGCGAAUUAUUACUGGGAAUGGAAGUACACGUAGUGACGAAGGACACCAGAAGGUGUGCAAAAAAGAACAUCUGCUAUGAUGAUCCGAUCAUUAUUGAAAGGUCUGAUCACCAAUCGAAUGGUACCCAAAAUCCAAAAGGAUGAAACUUUAAAAAUGGUUAUUGGUUCGGAAGGAAGAGCAGUGACAGGGAAAAAUGUAAGAGGAAAAUUAUAGCUGUUGUUCAUCAAAAUCGUAUUGUAUUGCAGGGUGCCGAGUGAAAACAACUUAAAAAUGUAUUUAUUUAGUGAAUCAUAUAAUACAUUUUCAUCACAAAAGUUGACAUCAGAACUUUGGUAUGUUGAAGCAUAAUCGAUGAGCUUUCAAUGGUCGGGAAAAUCCAAGUUAUUCCGGUGAUGACUUUUGCGAACCACCCACGUAUCCGGCUAGAGCGACACUAACGCACGAACCCGUGUAGACCAGGAAUAAACAGAGAUAGAUAAAGGGGCAUAAAUCCAAAAGGCCUCAGCGACAGCUAUACUACCAAUAUGAUAAUCGGAGGCGGGCUGGGCAGUUGACAAUGGGCGUGGCAUAUCCACCUGCCAAGCACCGGCACUUACCCGAAGCUUAGCCAAAUACAAAGUGUCACACGGCCACCGCACAAGAACAAAUAAAGAAAAAACAGUCGGUAUAUACAAUAUACGUAUAUGGCUAUGAGUGCGCGGGAACUUGGGUCUCGGGAACUUGGGAACUCGCGAACUCCGGCGGAUACUCGACCGUUUCGACGAGCGGACUAUUUCGAACUGAAUCGCAGCGCUGGGCAAUCUUCCUUAUUUAUCAAUAGCCCUGCUCCAUGGAAGGCCAAUAAAGCAAAUAGCAUUUAUUGUUUUGGCCGGGCUAAAAAAUGAUAAGCCCCCAUACUCUCCAUUCUCUCGGUACAAGCAGACAUAUGUCCGCGUUCGAUUUUCGGCUUUAUCGGGGCAGGGAUGUCUGGGGAGUGGAUCUAUUACUCACGGAGUGCCCUGUAUUCGAUGUCAUGACUGUCAAUAAUUGUUAACUAAAGAGUUCAUUAUAAAGUUCGAAAUAAACCAUGGAUUAUUCACUUCUUUUAA